CUCGAGCCAGUGAAACGGUGCAGUGACUAAAGAUAGUUCUCUUUGGUUUUCCCAUGAUUUAUCACAAGCAAGUUCACAGCAGCAACAACACAGUCGAAUAACUCCUUCAGGGAGUCUGACUACAUUUCCACAAUGCCGUCUCAAGCAAGAGCUUUGGAAAAAGAAGUCAAGAAAAUGACUAUUCCACCAAAUAAAAUGAACGAUGCUGAAUGCUCUGGAUGCUACCAUGAGCAGAAGACUUGGUCAGACCUCGGGGGCUGACGUUCUAGCAGGAAAGGCAGACACAAGCCAAAUCAUCACUCAAACCUGUGAAAUUACAACCACAGUUUAAGUGCUUUGAUGUAUGUUAUGAGAAUCAAAUCACCACUACUGCCCUGGACUCACAUAAACAUUUGCAAAGAACUUUUCACACAUAGUGUCCUAUGAGAACAAUUAGAGUUAGAUAAAGGGUGUCCCUUGAUAGUACAUUAUUAUAGAAUGAAUGGUUAAUUCCUUCCACACAAACAUUUCUUGUACAAAUGUCACAGAUAAAUUACACUGAAAUCUCUCAUACUGAGAAUACAGAAAAAUUCUGCCAAGGAAUGAGGCUCAACAUAUUCCUAAGAAAUGAAAAGUUUUGUUGGUUUCUUAGGUAAAAUAUCCAAGAACGCAGGCUAUAACUUUACCACUUGAGAGGGAAAUACACUAUUGAGUCAUUAGAUAUUCAAUAAAUCUGUCUUAUAUGUUGUCUAUGUUAGUGCCUCAUUGAAGGCCUGACCUGGGAGUUCCAAAACUCCCAACGUACAUCUGAAACCACAGAUAGUACUAAACUCUCUAUGUAGCAGUUUUCAAUCUACACACACACCUAUCAUAAAGUGUAAUUAUCAGUUGAUCUGAUAACCAAGGGGACUCUUAAGUGACUAAUGGGCAGGUAGUGUAUAUAACAUGAAUACAGGGGACAAAGGGGGUGAUUCCCAUUCUGGGCAGGGCAGAGUAGGAUGGUUCAAGAUUUCAUCACCCUACUCAGAUAACACAUGAAACCAGUUAUUUCUGAUAUUUUCAAUUUAAUAUUUUUGGACUGUUUGACCUUGUGCAGUAAUGUCCAGCAAAGUGAAAUAGCAUAUAUGGAGAGACUACUAUAAUACUCUAUUUGCUAAAAACUGUGCUAAGCAGCAUGAUUACAUUGAAAAUAAGGCAUGAUUCUUGCCUCAAGGAUCAAGACAAAAGUUUGAGAAUUGCCACAGGGAUGCCCCUGGACAACCAAGGACUCAGAAGUCUGACUCUAGGUUAGGGCAAUGAUAGCUGUCUGAUAGCUGUGCAGAAAAAUACCAUAUACCAGCAGAACUGUCCAAAGAGGGAAUAAAUUUUCUUAUGAGGAAAUAUGUUUUUCUCCCACCACUUCUAAGAACUGCAAAACUUUUUAAAGUAUUUAUAAUAAGAAUUUUCAAAGAUUCAAAAAAGUCAUGAAAAUAAUAAUUAUCCAUUUACUCAAUCCUCAACUUCAUUACAUACCAUUUUUUCAAAUCUGCUUUAGAUUUCUUUGAUUAAGAAGCAAAACUUUAAAGACAGUUGAAAUGUGAUUUGUCAACCUAUUGUCUCAUUCCCUGAAAGUCUGUGCUGCCCUAGAGGUGAUGUCAUUCCUUUCCAUCCAUAUAUAUUUUUACAUAUUUACUACAGACAGACAGACUUUUUUUUUCUAAAACUUUUACCGUAAGUCAUUUUCUUGCCCCAAAUCCAUCAGAGGUUCCCUAAGGCCUAUGCCAGCAGUUCCCAAAUUAAGUUUAUCUACAGAAUCCUCUUGGGAGUUUCAAAAUUACAUGAAGAGUUCCUUGGUUUCUCCUUGAGAAAUUUUGGUUAGUUUUCCAGGGUUCUGAGCGUGGGAGGCAUUGAGACCUGAGGUUGCCCCGUGCUGUGGGCUGUUUAGUAGCAUCCCUGCCUCCUACCCUCUGGGCUUCAGUGGAAGCUCUCCCACCCAGUCAUAACAAAUGAAAAUACUGCCAGACAUUGCUCUAUUAACCAUGUUUUUUAAAAUUGUCCAAUGCUUGGACAGCUGAGGCCUUGUUCCCAUGAAAGGACUGCCCCUCCCAGAGCUAAGCAAUUCCUAGAGAUAGUAAGCAACUCACAGGUUACUAUGAUUUUCAGAUACAAAUUAACCAAUCUGGAGACUUCAUGCAAACCACCUACCUUUAUUGAGAUUUGUUGCUCCAGGUCACUAUCCACUGUUUUAAUCACCUCUGGGCCAGGUCCCAAACAGCUAGGGACAGCCCUUUGCCCCAGAGCCUGCUGAAAUUAUUUAAACUUCCCAAUCCUAAACUUAGGUUUACUCUGUCUCACCCAUUCCUUCCUGAAGAAACCUCAAUAAAGACUCCUGAUCACAGACCCUCCUCUUUCUCUACCUCCUGAGCCACCUUCGUACUUUCUCUGUGCUCCCGUGUGGCAUGAUGG